CAUCCCCCAGACGCAGCAGCUCCCGCCUGCAGCGCCGGGCCUCGAAUCAACCUGUCCUGUCCAGGAGUCGCCAGGACAGGAGCAGCAGGACAGCAGCAAGGGCUCAGAGGCCCAGGCGCAGUGGGGCACCGUCAGGGGUGUCCCGCAGGAGCAACCGCUCCUGUCUGCGACGUCGGGCCUCAACUGGGACCUCCAACAGCAGCACGUAGUGUCAUCUUUUCUUUCUUUCCAUCUGUUCGCCGCCGGAAGUGAAGUAAAGCCAAAAGGAAGAAGAGAGAAGAGAGUGACACACUGCCUCAAAUGCCUGAAGAAAUCGAUUGCUGUAUUGCUGCCGAUUUAAAAAACUUGCUUGGACCUUGAAAGAACAAACCAGAAAAGACUGUGGAAAUACCCUGGGACAAAGAGGACGCGCAGGACUCUGCCCCAGAUGACCAUUUGGGACCUUUGCCUGAGAACGACGCAGCUCAGGAGCCGAGUGCUUUCAAGUUUUCCUUCUUUGGAGACACAGAGGACUUGUGCAUCAAAGAAGAUAAAAUGAGGCCUUGUGAAAAGAAGAUGAAACAACAUUAAAUUGAGUCACAGUCCUGAAGGAGAGAAGAGAAACUGUGUGCAGUUAUGCCAAAUAUUAAAAAAAAGAAACCAAUGCAACAAGACAAAGCAACCAGCCUCCCACACUUGUGCUGAAUUCAGAAGGAAUUCAGUGUCUUCUGAAUGCAAUGAUAAAUGCUUAUGAAUACAGAAGAGAUCCCUAGAACAAACUGGAAAAUCCUGGAGCAGAGAUGUAGCUCAGAAAAUCAGGCAGGAGCAGAUUCUGUCCUUCCUAAAUCUGUCUUCUCCACUAGCCUUGCGGACUUGGAACAAUAAAGCCGGUAAAAGUCACAUGGCAGGAGGCUUCACGUUUCCAAGACAGCCGUUCUGAGGGUGCUGAUGAGCCUGAGACGUGAGAAAUUGAAAAGGACCAAGAAAUGCAAGUUUCUUUCUUUACCACGCACAGGGAGUGCUGGAGUUUUCUUUUUCUCCAAAGAUGAUGAACGCCCAAGAGGUAAUUGCCUAAUAGGAAUCUGGACUUUUAGAGCUUACCAAAACAUUAGCCACUUGACAGUUUACCUAGAUAUUUUGGAUCCUUUCAGAGGGCCCAAAGUUAUUUUGUAGAUCAGCAGAGCUCAGUGAAGAGAAAGAGAGUUGGGAAGACAGACGUAGAUUAUUGCUUGAGGAGCAGCUACUUAACUAUAUGUCAAGAAUGGAUUUAAGAGAAAGAGUGAAUUUAGAGACUUCUCCUAACAGUGGAUUCAGAACCUUCUCCAAAGAAUUUGUUAGAUUUUCAUUAUUUUCCGGAAUGCUGAAGGAAGCAUAAGGAUACCAGAUAGAAAGUACAAAGAAACCAAUAAACCUUUUACUGAUUAGAA